AACGAACGCUGGCGGCAUGCCUAACACAUGCAAGUCGAACGAGACCUUCGGGUCUAGUGGCGCACGGGUGCGUAACGCGUGGGAACCUGCCCUUAGGUUCGGAAUAACUCCCGAAAGGGGUGCUAAUACCGGAUAAUGUCUUCGGACCAAAGAUUUAUCGCCUUUGGAUGGGCCCGCGUUGGAUUAGCUAGUUGGUAGGGUAAAAGCCUACCAAGGCGACGAUCCAUAGCUGGUCUGAGAGGAUGAUCAGCCACACUGGGACUGAGACACGGCCCAGACUCCUACGGGAGGCAGCAGUGGGGAAUAUUGGACAAUGGGCGAAAGCCUGAUCCAGCAAUGCCGCGUGAGUGAUGAAGGCCUUAGGGUUGUAAAGCUCUUUUACCCGGGAUGAUAAUGACAGUACCGGGAGAAUAAGCGCCGGCUAACUCCGUG
rnacentral:rRNA from 1 species